UCUCUGGUCCAGGAAGCAUGACCGAGUCAGCUGUCCUCAAUGUCAGCCAACGUGGGAGGCACCUGCUCUGGGAGUAGCAAUGGCUACUAUGGCUGGUAUCAGCAGAAGGUCCCUGGCAAUGCCCCUGUCACUGUCAUCUACUGGAACGACGAGAGACCCUCGGAUGUCCCUUCGCGAUUCUCUGGAUCCAAGUCUGGCUCCACAGGCACGUUAACCAUCACUGGGGUCCAAGCUGAGGACGAGGCUGUCUAUUACUGUGGCACUCGGGACAGCAGCACUGAUGUUGUCACAGUGCUGUCCAUCACUGUUGUGUGCUACUACCAUGAGCCUCCCUUUGGGCCCAAGGGCUACAGGCUCCGGCUCUUCUUCUACGGGGUCUGCAAUGUCAUCUCUAUUACCUGUGCUUACACCUCCUUCUCCAUAGUGCCCCCCAGCAAUGGGACCAUUAUGUGGAGGGCCACCACCACGGUGUGA